rnacentral:tRNA from 1 species
GCCGGAGUAGCUCAGCUGGUAGAGCAACGGUUUUGUAAACCGUGGGUCGUCGGUUCGAGUCCGGCCUCCGGCU